rnacentral:misc_RNA from 1 species
UUUCCGUAGGUGAACCUGCGGAAGGAUCAUUACUGAGUGAGGGCCCUCUGGGUCCAACCUCCCACCCGUGUUUAUUGUACCUUGUUGCUUCGGUGCGCCCGCCUCACGGCCGCCGGGGGGCUUCUGCCCCCGGGUCCGCGCGCACCGGGGACACCAUUGAACUCUGUCUGAAGAUUGCAGUCUGAGCAUAAACUAAAUAAGUUAAAACUUUCAACAACGGAUCUCUUGGUUCCG